rnacentral:misc_RNA from 1 species
UGCUCUUAUUAAUUUCCAUAGUCUAUAAAUGGAGUAAUACUAAGCCUUGUCCAUACUUUAGGUUCCUCAUCAACCAAAUUUCAUGCAUAGACUGUUAUUGUCCCAAAACAAAUUGACAAACUACAGUUCUCACAGCCAGAGAAACCUGAAAUUUUUAGCAGAAUAAAUAUGACUUAUUAAUUUCCUUAAUUUUCCAUUUUACUAUGUUUCGAAAAGCAGAA